rnacentral:ribozyme from 1 species
AGGUUACAAAAUGGUUGUUAUUUUUUCCUUUUUCUUUUUUGUUUUUUUAUCCAACUUAAGUGUCUAUGCGUGCGCGUGUGUAUGCGUGUUUGUCUCGUUAACCAUUCGUAUAAAAAGGUAGAGGAGGAUACCAAGCGCC